CUGCAGUAUGAAAGGAGAGAGAGAAAGCAAGCACUCCAUUCAAUAAGGAUAGAAGAGGUUCCAGUAGCCUGUAAACUCACAUAUGGCCUCUAACAAGUUGGGGAGGGACCAUAGCUUAGU